AGCAGCCGCGGUAAUUCCAGCUCCAAUAGCGUAUAUUAAAGUUGUUGCAGUUAAAAAGCUCGUAGUUGAAUUUCGGGAUUAAUUUACUGGUCGUGCUAUUGUACGUACUGGUUUUAUUGAUUCCUCCCUUCUGAUGAACUAUGAUGUCAUUAAUUUGGUGUCAUAGGAAAUCAGGACUGUUACUUUGAAAAAAUUAGAGUGUUUAAAGCAGGCUCACGCUUGAAUACAUUAGCAUGGAAUAACGGAAUAGGACGUUUGAUUCUAUUUUGUUGGUUUCUAGGAUCGACGUAAUGAUUAAUAGGGAUAGUUGGGGGCAUUAGUAUUCAAUUGUCAGAGGUGAAAUUCUUGGAUUUAUUGAAGACUAACUACUGCGAAAGCAUUUGCCAAGGAUGUUUUCAUUAAUCAAGAACGAAAGUUAGGGGAUCGAAGACGAUCAGAUACCGUCGUAGUCUUAACCAUAAACUAUGCCGACUAGGGAUCGGAUGAUGUUAAUUUUUUAAUGUACUCAUUCGGCGCCUUA
rnacentral:sRNA from 1 species